ensembl:lncRNA
GAAGGCUCAAGGUCAUUGGCCACAGAUAAAAUGAUGUCAAAUCACGAUAUAUCUACCAUAGCUUUGAUUGGACUGAUCAUGUCAACAUCAUACUUUCAAAAUCUUAGCUAGCAAGCUAGACAAGCAAUCUUCAUCAUGAAUCAAGUCGACAAUCUACUAGCAAAUCCUUUUCAAGCCUUGUCUGGACUUGGAGACUUUGAAGAGACCCUGGUGGCAUGUCUUGUGGGCAGCCUGUGCUGGUGAAAGAAAAAUAAUCACCAUGUCAAUGUCACUGGGCUACAGAGUCUGCCUCCAACAUAGCAACUAGCUGCUGGUUGGCUGCCAGUUAGUGAGCUCUCGCCAUUUCAUUGGUGGACCAGGCUGAUGUGGAAUGGGAGAGGCAGACGGAGACAGAGGGAAGAGGGCCGUCAUUGGCUGUGGAAACCUGAAGGAGAAUAGCUCAAUUGCCAACGCCUGAGAGCAGGUUUGAUGGUGUAUUUUAGGUGUGACUAUAAAGAUGCCUUUGGCUGCACGUCUAACCGGCCUCACAGUCCACGUGUAACCACUCCAGCCUAAGACCUCCACAUCCUGCUUCUUCACCUGCGAGAUUGUCUGAGACCAGUCACCCGGACAGCUGAUGAAACUGAGGAGUAUUUCUGUCUGUAAUAAACCCCUUUUGUGGGGAAAACUCACAAAAGCUGCGCCCCUGCCCAGUCAUGUGAAAUCCAUAGAAUAGGGCCUAAUUUAUUUAUUUCAAUUGAAUGAUUUUUUUGUAUGAACUGUAACUCAGUAAAAGUAUUGAAAUUGUUGCAUGUUGCAUUUAUAUUUUUGUUCAGUAUAUAAAACAGUAUGAAUAUCAAUGGAAGAAUGUACAUCUGCAAAUAUUACC